rnacentral:rRNA from 1 species
UUAAGCGACUAAGCGUACACGGUGGAUGCCCUGGCAGUCAGAGGCGAUGAAGGACGUGCUAAUCUGCGAUAAGCGUCGGUAAGGUGAUAUGAACCGUUAUAACCGGCGAUUUCCGAAUGGGGAAACCCAGUGUGAUUCGUCACACUAUCAUUAACUGAAUCCAUAGGUUAAUGAGGCGAACCGGGGGAACUGAAACAUCUAAGUACCCCGAGGAAAAGAAAUCAACCGAGAUUCCCCCAGUAGCGGCGAGCGAACGGGGAGCAGCCCAGAGCCUGAAUCAGUGUGUGUGUUAGUGGAAGCGUCUGGAAAGGCGCGCGAUACAGGGUGACAGCCCCGUACACAAAAAUGCACAUACUGUGAGCUCGAUGAGUAGGGCGGGACACGUGGUAUCCUGUCUGAAUAUGGGGGGACCAUCCUCCAAGGCUAAAUACUCCUGACUGACCGAUAGUGAACCAGUACCGUGAGGGAAAGGCGAAAAGAACCCCGGCGAGGGGAGUGAAAAAGAACCUGAAACCGUGUACGUACAAGCAGUGGGAGCACGCUUAGGCGUGUGACUGCGUACCUUUUGUAUAAUGGGUCAGCGACUUAUAUUCUGUAGCAAGGUUAACCGAAUAGGGGAGCCGAAGGGAAACCGAGUCUUAACUGGGCGUUAAGUUGCAGGGUAUAGACCCGAAACCCGGUGAUCUAGCCAUGGGCAGGUUGAAGGUUGGGUAACACUAACUGGAGGACCGAACCGACUAAUGUUGAAAAAUUAGCGGAUGACUUGUGGCUGGGGGUGAAAGGCCAAUCAAACCGGGAGAUAGCUGGUUCUCCCCGAAAGCUAUUUAGGUAGCGCCUCGUGAAUUCAUCUCCGGGGGUAGAGCACUGUUUCGGCAAGGGGGUCAUCCCGACUUACCAACCCGAUGCAAACUGCGAAUACCGGAGAAUGUUAUCACGGGAGACACACGGCGGGUGCUAACGUCCGUCGUGAAGAGGGAAACAACCCAGACCGCCAGCUAAGGUCCCAAAGUCAUGGUUAAGUGGGAAACGAUGUGGGAAGGCCCAGACAGCCAGGAUGUUGGCUUAGAAGCAGCCAUCAUUUAAAGAAAGCGUAAUAGCUCACUGGUCGAGUCGGCCUGCGCGGAAGAUGUAACGGGGCUAAACCAUGCACCGAAGCUGCGGCAGCGACGCUGAUGCGUUGUUGGGUAGGGGAGCGUUCUGUAAGCCUGCGAAGGUGUGCUGUGAGGCAUGCUGGAGGUAUCAGAAGUGCGAAUGCUGACAUAAGUAACGAUAAAGCGGGUGAAAAGCCCGCUCGCCGGAAGACCAAGGGUUCCUGUCCAACGUUAAUCGGGGCAGGGUGAGUCGACCCCUAAGGCGAGGCCGAAAGGCGUAGUCGAUGGGAAACAGGUUAAUAUUCCUGUACUUGGUGUUACUGCGAAGGGGGGACGGAGAAGGCUAUGUUGGCCGGGCGACGGUUGUCCCGGUUUAAGCGUGUAGGCUGGUUUUCCAGGCAAAUCCGGAAAAUCAAGGCUGAGGCGUGAUGACGAGGCACUACGGUGCUGAAGCAACAAAUGCCCUGCUUCCAGGAAAAGCCUCUAAGCAUCAGGUAACAUCAAAUCGUACCCCAAACCGACACAGGUGGUCAGGUAGAGAAUACCAAGGCGCUUGAGAGAACUCGGGUGAAGGAACUAGGCAAAAUGGUGCCGUAACUUCGGGAGAAGGCACGCUGAUAUGUAGGUGAGGUCCCUCGCGGAUGGAGCUGAAAUCAGUCGAAGAUACCAGCUGGCUGCAACUGUUUAUUAAAAACACAGCACUGUGCAAACACGAAAGUGGACGUAUACGGUGUGACGCCUGCCCGGUGCCGGAAGGUUAAUUGAUGGGGUCAGCGCAAGCGAAGCUCUUGAUCGAAGCCCCGGUAAACGGCGGCCGUAACUAUAACGGUCCUAAGGUAGCGAAAUUCCUUGUCGGGUAAGUUCCGACCUGCACGAAUGGCGUAAUGAUGGCCAGGCUGUCUCCACCCGAGACUCAGUGAAAUUGAACUCGCUGUGAAGAUGCAGUGUACCCGCGGCAAGACGGAAAGACCCCGUGAACCUUUACUAUAGCUUGACACUGAACAUUGAGCCUUGAUGUGUAGGAUAGGUGGGAGGCUUGGAAGUGUGGACGCCAGUCUGCAUGGAGCCGACCUUGAAAUACCACCCUUUAAUGUUUGAUGUUCUAACGUUGACCCGUAAUCCGGGUUGCGGACAGUGUCUGGUGGGUAGUUUGACUGGGGCGGUCUCCUCCUAAAGAGUAACGGAGGAGCACGAAGGUUGGCUAAUCCUGGUCGGACAUCAGGAGGUUAGUGCAAUGGCAUAAGCCAGCUUGACUGCGAGCGUGACGGCGCGAGCAGGUGCGAAAGCAGGUCAUAGUGAUCCGGUGGUUCUGAAUGGAAGGGCCAUCGCUCAACGGAUAAAAGGUACUCCGGGGAUAACAGGCUGAUACCGCCCAAGAGUUCAUAUCGACGGCGGUGUUUGGCACCUCGAUGUCGGCUCAUCACAUCCUGGGGCUGAAGUAGGUCCCAAGGGUAUGGCUGUUCGCCAUUUAAAGUGGUACGCGAGCUGGGUUUAGAACGUCGUGAGACAGUUCGGUCCCUAUCUGCCGUGGGCGCUGGAGAACUGAGGGGGGCUGCUCCUAGUACGAGAGGACCGGAGUGGACGCAUCACUGGUGUUCGGGUUGUCAUGCCAAUGGCACUGCCCGGUAGCUAAAUGCGGAAGAGAUAAGUGCUGAAAGCAUCUAAGCACGAAACUUGCCCCGAGAUGAGUUCUCCCUGACUCCUUGAGAGUCCUGAAGGAACGUUGAAGACGACGACGUUGAUAGGCCGGGUGUGUAAGCGCAGCGAUGCGUUGAGCUAACCGGUACUAAUGAACCGUGAGGCUUAACCUU